ACUUUUAGUCAAAGAUUUUGCUGUAGUUUCAAAAAAUAAAACAGAUACACCUGUCCUGGUAGUUUCUACGUAAGUAGGCUUACCACACGACAUAGACAUCUGAUCUAAUAGUUUCUAUAUAAGUAGGCUUACUACACGACACAGAGACUCCUGACCUAAUGGUUUCUACGUAAGUUAUGGGUGCUAAUUACGCUGCCUCUGUGCCACUGCAUGAGCAUUUACAAACUGUUCCUAUAAAGAUUGACGAGCUCUCCACAGAACAGUAACUUUGUUUCCCGAAAAUCAACAUUAUUAUAACGACUCACAGUUAGUAGCUUUUGUGAUUUCCACUUCAAACCUGUCUUUCUUCGUUAGGUAACAAAAACUACAGUAACUCAUGGUCAGUCUCUUAUUCUUGACAUUAACCAAGAAACGUUUACAUGACAAACAUCCAAGCCCACACGCAAAGAGAGUAAUAUGGUCUGCUAACCAGUUAACAACCACUAUUGCAUCUCUUGUUACUCAACAAUUGAAAGUGCUGGUAACGCUUUACGUCUAUAACCAGCUCGGCGUGGAUGGUGUUGUCAUGGAAACAGUUUCCCCCAAUACUAGGAAGAAAUGUUAUUACUUUGUUGUUACAGAACCUCGACAGAGAAUGCUUUCCCGCGGUGCUUCACGUGUGCAUUAUUUACAAACGAGAAGGACAUAUGAAUAUGAUUAAAUUUUUUGUUGCCCCUCUCUUUCCUAUUCAAACCAGCAUCUACUCCGACUAAUUCCCCUCUCAAUACAUAUGUACAAGUGUUGAAGAAACGUCAGUAAAACUAAUGAAUUUUUUAAAUAUCUUACACAUUUCCUACUAAAGCUAAACUUUCUCUAUAUGUGAUCCUGGCUUGGCACAGCCUAGUCAAUAACGUGCGUGGACUGUGAAUCCAAAUAAACUCUUCCUUAUAAGUGAUCCUGGCUUGUCAUAGCCUAGUCAAUAACGUGCGUGGACUGUGAAUCGAAAUAAACUCUUCCCUAUAAGUGAUCUUGGCUUGGCAUAGCCUAAUCAAUAACGUGCGUGGACUAUGAAUUCAAAUAAACUCUUCCCUAUAAGUGAUCUUGGCUUGGCAUAGCCUAGUCAAUAACGUGCGUGGACUGUGAAUCCAAAUAAACUCUUCCCUAUAAGUGAUCUUGGCUUGGCAUAGCCUAGUCAAUAACGUGCGUGGACUGUGAAUCCAAAUAAACUCUUCCUUAUAAGUGAUCCUGGCUUGUCAUAGCCUAGUCAAUAACGUGCGUGGACUGUGAAUUCAAGGCUUCAUGUGACUUCUUGACACAAACACACAAUCUACACUUUGGGGUCGUAAGUGCACUGAAGUGUCCCACUCCCAGUAUUCAAUCACACAAGAAUUGCCCAAAAUUUGACUGUGGGUGUUAUUAACUAGCUGCCUUCCCUCUAGCUUAGUAGUUUUUGGUAUACAAAUAAUCUUAAGAAUUUGACCCUUCUCUUUCUUUUCCUGUACAGUUCACCUAAAGAUGGUUAGAAAGUUAUUGUGUCUUAUCAAGUAUAUUAUCUAAAUUUUUCGAAAGUUGAUGAUGUAAGACAAACGUUCAUGCAAGUAAGCAGAAUAAUAAAAUGAAAAACUCAGCACGCAUUAUCUGUCUGGCCUUUUUUUCCGGAUUUAUUCGAUUCUAAGAUUUAAAACCAAAUGAUCGAUCAACAUCUACUUGGUUUCUCUCAUUUCGUUUCUUUAAUCUGACAGAGUUUCUUUCUUCACUUACUUUGUGUUCUCUACAGUCUUUCUUUCUCAUAUGUUUGGCACUCUCUUUCCUUUUUGCACUCUUUUUCAUUUUGUUCACUUUUCAUUCUUUGUCAUAUAAUGUUUCCUUCCUUCACUCACUUAAUUUUCAAUUCUUUCUUGUCUUUGGAAAACGUUUCUUUAGUUCUUACUUUGCACCCUUUCGUUUCUUUGUCAUCUGUCUGGUAGAAGUUAUUUCUCUCUCUCAUUCUCUUAGUGUUCUUCCUAGUCAUCUGUCUGAUAGAGGUUCUUUAUCUCUCUCAUUCUCUUAGUGUUCUUCUUAAUCAUCUGUCUGAUAGAGGUUCUUUAUAUCUCUCAUUCUCUUAGUGUUCUUUCUAGUCAUCUGUCUGAUAGAGGUUCUUUAUCUCUCUCAUUCUCUUAGUGUUCUUCCUAGACAUCUGUCUGAUAGAGGUUCUUUCUUUCUCUCAUUCUGUUAGUGUUCUUCCUAGUCAUCUGUCUGAUAGAGGUUCUUUAUCUCUCUCAUUCUCUUAGUGUUCUUCCUAGUCAUCUGUCUGAUAGAGGUUCUUUAUCUCUCUCAUUCUCUUAGUGUUCUUCCUAGUCAUCUGUCUGAUAGAGGUUCUUUAUCUCUCUCAUUCUCUUAGUGUUCUUCCUAGUCAUCUGCCUGAUAGAGGUUGUUUCUUUCUCCCAUUCUCUUAGUGUUCUUCCUAGUCAUCUGUCUGAUAGAGGUUCUUUAUCUCUCUCAUUCUCUUAGUGUUCUUCCUAGUCAUCUGUCUGAUAAGGUUUCUUUCAUUCUUUCCUACUUAGUGCUUUUUCUUUAACCUGUCUAACAUAGUUUAUUUCCUUCUGUCAAUAUCCACACUUUUCUUUCGCUCUUUCAUUUUUGCACUCUUGUUUUGUAAAAAGCACUAUAAGAAGACAGUUUCGGAUUACAAAUAGUAUUUAUUUGAAAUUCCAGGAAUGCAGUCAGUGGUGUUUGCACAUAAAUCACAAACUCAAAUAAGAAAUGAAUCAGGAGCUAUAUAAAUGUCGCAUCCAGCCUUUAAUAUAGCACUUAAACAUUAUGUUAAUAAUACAUAGUUACAGCCUUAAUACCAGUAAUGAACUUAAUAAAUUAUAUCCAAUAAAUCUUCAUAAACUUAGUUACUUAUAAAGAAACUUCUCACUGGAAAGCUGUGAUUUCGACUGACUGCUGUUGAAACCUUCCCAGCAUUUACACAGAAUUUGUCUUACUUAUUGACAUCCAGUAUGUGGCUACGAUUUAUGCAGCAACCAAACUGAGGUCAAGGGCUGUUGUUCUCAUGAGCUCAGUAGCUCAAGGUUACUGAUGCACAUCCUUAAAUGCAUAUAUUCACUUGCCGCGUGCUUAAUGAUGUUUUUAUUCUGACUUAAUAUGACUAUUUGUCACUUGCCACGUGCUUACUGAUGUCUUUACUCUGAUUUCAUAUGACUAUUUGUCACUUGCCACGUGCUUACUGAUGUCCGUACUCUGACUUCAUAUGACUAUUUGUCACUUUUCAGGUGCUUACUGAUGUCUUUACGCUGACUUCAUAUGACUAUUUGUCACUUGCCACGUCAUUACGGAUGUCUUUACUCUGACUUCAUAUGACUAUCUGUCAUUUGCCACGUACUUACUGAUAUCUUUACUCUGACUUCAUACGACUAUUUGUCACUUGCCACGUGCUUACUGAUGUCUUUACUCUGACUUCGUAUGACUGUCACUUGCCACAUGCUUACUGAUGUCUUUACUCUAACUUCAUAUGACUAUUUGUCACUUGCCGCGUGCUUACUGAUGUAUUUACUCUGACUUCAUAUGACUAUUUGUCACUUGCCACGUGCUUAUUGAUGUAUUUACUCUGACUUCAUAUAACUAUUUGUUUCCUAAUUUACAUCAAGCUAGCUAUCUGACUUAUUACUAAUCACGAGUUAAGGGUCUGUCAUUACUUUUCUUCACAAUUAGUCUGACCUCAUGACAUCACUUGUCUCCUAAAUUUACUUUAGGCUUGUUAUUAACCACAAGUUAAUGACGUGAUUAGUUUUCCUGACAAUUUGGUGUAGAGUUAUGAAUUUUCAUGCAAGUUUGAUACUUUCUUUUCUCUGUUCUUUUGUAGAUGGCUUAAGUAGAGUCUUCACGAUACUAAGGUAACAUCGAACACCACGACUGUAAGGUUUCGAUUCUAAUAAGUUACCAACCAACACCUUAUGCAUCACAAAGAGUGCUGUUGAUUUCUACAUCAAAAAGGUUCUGUACUUAUCAUUUAGAAGGAAAGAGAGUUCUGUUUUGUUUCUCUCUCUCUUCUGUCAACCCUGGAACUUUAAUGAGCUACUUCGAUUGUUUUUAUGCCUUUAGGGAUUUGUCUCUGUUAUGUUGUUGAAAUUAGUGGUCCAUAGAAUGAAAGAGUUAAUAAUGUGGACACUAACAUGUUUGAUUAGAGAAAACAAAGCUAUAUCCCAUUAUUCUAAACCCUCUAUAUAAAAGUAUUAUUCAUAUGUUAAUUAAGCGUAAAUUUUCUUCGUAUCACAAAGGAGUAAUAUAAAUUAGGCUACGGGAGUAUAUCGAAGAGAACGAAAGAACUGACCCCUUAAUCCACGCUCCCGACAAGAAAAAUAAUCCUUGGGCAGAAAAAGGAAAAUGUCUCAUCAUGUAGCCUGAACUUCGUGUAAUCUAACUCCUUAACGAACUUCACUCCUCUUCAGCCAAAGACUAUUUCAUAUCCCGUGUCGUUUUAACCCUCGUAUAUUGAAAUCUUUUAUCAACUUUUGUUUGAACCUAUUUAGCUACGAAACUAAGGCUGGAAAAAAAGUUUCACCAUCGUUUUUGACCUCAAAACUAAACUUCAAAUUAUUCAUCAGUUGUUGUUGUUGUUUUUUGUAAUGUAUUGUCAACAAUGGAAAUAUAACAUCGAAAUGCCUUUCUCCAAAAACAAAA